AGCGGUCUUGGCUGCAUGCCCUUCCAUCUCUACAUGGCCUCUUUGAUUCCAGCCGGGUUCUUUGAUGGGGAACCUUGGCACAGAGACAUUCAGUGACUUGCCUGGAAUCCCAAAGGAAAUUUUUGAACCGGCAUCUCCUGAGUCCUAGCCCCGUGCAUCACCACAAGACUAUCCUCCCUCCCUUCUCCAGGAAAACACCCUCCAGGGCCGGCUCAGCGCAAUCCCAGCCCAUUCGUUUCCAUCGCUGUCAAACACAAAGUUGGGUCUUGAUUCCCACCGCCCACCACCACUGUUCAGUUGAUUAUCAGCGGAGGGGUCACGCGAGUGACAUCACGUGCCAAGAACCAAAAGACCCCAAAGAGCUUCCCAUCUAAGGAUAGGAUGAGAGACACCCGGUGGACACAGACUGACGGGAGGAGACCAAGAAAACAGGGAGAUCGUUAUGAAGAGCAUGAGACGCAGCCGGUCACAGCACAGCUCCUUGCUGUCCAGGGUUUUAUAGGCAUCCCAGGAGAGGAGAGUGCCCAGGAGCGAUGUGAAGGAAGAUGAGAUGAUGGCUGUCUAUCUAUUGAGCUAUCUAGCUACAUUCUUUCUGCCAUUCUCUCUUUCCCAGGCUUGUUAACGGGAACAGUUUCCUUUUAUUUUAGGCAGGCACAGGGCUGUACUUCUAUUCCUCCCCCCACGCACACUCUUUGUCUAUUAGAUUGUAAGAUCUACCAGGCAGAGGCUACCUCUCGCUAUGCGGAUGUACAGGACAAGGAGGCCCUGGUCUCAGCUGGGAUCUCCAGGGGCUCCUAUCAUAUAAAUAAUAGCGUCCUAGGUACGUACACAUGGAAAAGGAAGCUGAGAGCAGGGGCUUCGCCGUUUUGCAGACAAAGGCAGAACACGAUCCAAUGGCGGGGAGUUGAAGUUAGCUGAAUUCAGCCUUGAAAUGAACAUGCUGUUUCCUAGCACUGAGGGUAAUGAAACAUGGGAACGGCUCACCAGGGGAGGUGGGGGGCAGACGCGCCCCCUACGUGCAGUCUUUAAAAGGAGAUUCGAUCUCUUUCUACAAGGCAAGCUCUCUAGUCCGGCUUCUGGGGGAGACUCUCUGGCCUGGGCUAGACAGGAGGUCAGGCGAGAUGAUCACAAUGAGCCCUUCUGGCUUUAGCGUCUACGAAUCUCUGAAAUCUUACUCCAGCUCCUGGCGCGGGUCCAGUGUGGUUCCGGGCAAGUGGCUCCAUCUCUCUGUGACGCGGUUCCCCAUCUAUACAAGAGGAGGAGGCUACUCGCUUGCUCUGUCUGGGGUGGUUAGAGUCAGGGCGGGGGCACCCAGACUAGCUGGCCUUGCGUACUCCCCGAGGCUGUGUCUGUGCAGCGCCUAGCGCAGCCGGGCCCUGAUCUGCGGCUGCUGCCUCUUGGCCCUGGGGUGACACCAUUUGAAAGCGAUGGCGUGACGCUAGCAAGAGGAGCUUCAGAGCCCUUUGCCUCUUUAUUUCCAGGCUCCAUCCACGCCUGCAAGAGCCCAGUGCCUCUGACCAGUUGUGCUCACAUCUGCAUCCCCAGCCCCUCCUUAGACUUGUCCUGCCGGGCAUGGCGGGGCAAAUAACAAUGAACCGCUGGAAAGCGAUGGCCCAUUGUGCUUAGCCCCCGCGGGUUAAACAGUCCCUGGGCAAGCAGGGCUCCUCAGACAGUGGGGUUUCUCACCAGCCCUGAUUGUCCAUUGACGAGUCAUCUGGGUUUGCUCCUUACCAGCUCAUUAAAAGCUCAUUUUGCCUGGGGAUUAUCCCCACUGUGUGGUGCCUGUGGACGCUGGGGGUUGAUUA